rnacentral:rRNA from 1 species
UAAACUGCAACUGACGCUGAUGCACGAAAGCGUGGGGAGCGAACAGGAUUAGAUACCCUGGUAGUCCACGCCGUAAACGAUGAUCACUCGCUGUAUGCGAUACACAGUAUGCGGCCAUGCGAAAGCAUUAAGUGAUCCACCUGGGGAGUACGAUCGCAAGGUUGAAACUCAAAGGAAUUGACGGGGGCCCGCACAAGCGGAGGAACAUGUGGUUUAAUUCGAUGAUACGCGAGGAACCUUACCUGGGCUUAAAUGGGGAACGACAGCAGCCGAAAGGUUGCCUUCUUCGGACGUUCUUCAAGGUGCUGCAUGGUUGUCGUCAGCUCGUGCCGUGAGGUGUCGGGUUAAGUCCCAUAACGAGCGCAACCCUUAUCGUUAGUUGCCAGCGGGUUAAGCCGGGGACUCUAGCGAGACUGCCACCGUAAGGUGUGAGGAAGGUGGGGAUGACGUCAAAUCAGCACGGCCCUUAUGUCCAGGGCUACACACGUGUUACAAUGGCCAAUACAAAGGGCAGCCACCCCGUGUGGGGAUGCUAAUCUCGAAAGUUGGUCUCAGUUCGGAUCGAAGUCUGCAACCCGACUUCGUGAAGCUGGAUUCGCUAGUAAUCGCGCAUCAGCCAUGGCGCGGUGAAUACGUUCCCGGGCCUUGUACACACCGCCCGUCAA